rnacentral:lncRNA from 1 species
AAAAAUGUUAGUUCUUUUCCACCACUGUUUACUCAUUCGUUUUACAACUGCUCAACUUUGUUCUGGUCCAGCAGGACUCUCUUGUACAAGCCCCAACAGCUCCAUGCCCAUCCCUGCCCAGGGUCCAGCCUUGUCUUAGUAAACAUUCAUCUCCCUGACUCAGGCUGCUGCUUAGAAAUUCUGUUUCGGUUGCAGUUCCAUUGUGUGGAGCCAGUACUACAACUUUUCCUCCUGCAUUCAUUUCUCUUCCUGCUGCCUUGUGAAGAAGGUGCCUUGCUUCCCCUUCACCUUCUACGGUGAUUGCAAGUUGCCUGAGGAUUCCCCAGCCAUGUGAAACUAUAUUCCAGAAAGAGGGACGAGCAUGAGCAAAGAUGGCAACAAAUUGAAAGAAGGCCAGUGGGCUCCAAGCAUGCCUCCCUCCUCCCAGAAGACUAUGUAAGAAACUGGUGAUAUAACAAGGAAACCAGAGAGACAAAGUGUCUGUUCUCAGGGAAUGGCUUGAACAUAUUAGGACUAAGUAACAUUUUUUCUUUAAGAUCCCAGUGUUCAGAAAAGGAAGAGAGGGAGCUUCCAUGGAGUCCAGAUGAUUUUCAAUCAUCGUGUCUCCUCCUGCACCCCUCAUGGCUGUAAAAUUGGUUAUGCUACUCAAGUUUUGGAACAGCUAAUGGAAGUCAUGUCCUGUGCUCUCUGUUCACAGAGUUUGAGAGAAACUGUAUUCAAGUUGCUGAAACCAAGAAGCUACACUCACGAGUCUCACCUAAACUCGAAUCUGAUUUAGAUGACAUCAUCCUGGACUUUGAGUUGAUGAAACCUUGGAGGUCUUGGGAGUAAAGCAAGUGUGAUUUGCAUAUGAUGGAUAUGAAUUGUAAUGGCCAGAGCAUGGCUGUGGUAGGUAACAUCUAGAGAUGGCCACCAUUAUUUUUUUUUUCCUCUAUCCGCACAUACUACUUCUCCUGUACUCUUGAAACUGGGAUGAAAUUAGCAACUUUGUUAACCAAUAUAAUGUGCCACAGAAGUGACUUUUGCGACUUGUGAGGUUAGAUCUUAAGAAGUCUUGUAUCUUCUUUCUGGAUCACUUGGAAUGCUUACUACGGGAACCAAGCCACUGUUCUAUGAGAAGUGCAAGUCACAUGGAGAAACCAUGUUUUGGCAAGCUAGUCUGCAUCUUCAGAGAUGAAAACUCCCAUUUUAGGGAACCAAGACUGAAUUCCAUAAUUUACAUGGAUGUUUGGAAGGUGUCUGCAACUUAAUCUGUGUUCGUUUCUGAGAUGUUGGGCAACUCCUUCUUGGAAGAUGUGGUAAUGGUCUCUUCGAAAAGAAAAUAAUCAUCUGAGUUUUGGCCAAAAUAGUUGAUCGGAUUACCUAUGAAAAUGACUCUCACCCAACUACAAGAAUGUUAUGAUGUAGAAACUCUAAAUAUAUGAGUAAUUAACUAUACAACACUCCAUCCCCAUGUGAAAAUCUUUAAUCUUUUAAGAUACUGAAAUUUUGUGUAUGUCUCAUAAUUUUCUGUAUAUGGUCAAUGAGUUUUGCCUUAGCCAUAAGUGGUCUGUCUGAAAUCUUCUCUAUUAUUUGUGCAUUUUCUUCCUGAUGUACCAAGCCUAGUCUGUUUGUUUUUUCCUAAGAGAAAAGCAGAUGAUUCAACUGUGUAUUUCUCAGUGUUGAUAUUGUGGUUUGAGGUAUUUCAUAAUCUUGAGUAAAAUCUUGUCAAUUUUAUGCUAUGCCUUGUGGGAACAUAUUUUUACUUUUAAGUCUCUUUGGCAAGUGGAGCUUCCUUUGUGUUUCCUCACCAAAUGUAUUCCCCAUUGUUUUCUGAUUAAUUCUUUUUCAGAAUGUUUACUCCUUCUUACCUCAAUGUCAUUACUUUUCAGUCUUGGCUUUGGGUAAACCUAGGACAAGAAUUGGAUAUCCAAAGCCAAUUUCAAUAUAAAAACUAUAAUAUCUAUCAAAAUCUAUGUAAAAUCCUGUGUAUAUUUCUCUUCUUUGUUGAACAGGGGCUUAUAAUCAUGUAGGUAAAUACACGUGGUUUUGAUUUCAGCACUGAUUACUGAAGAUUUGUCUUCCAUUCUUCUGGGCCAGGCCCAUACACAACCAUAGUUAGAAGUAAAAACUAUUUGUUAUACCUGGAAUGCCUUUCCUUUCAAUCUCUGAAUGUCUAAAAUUACUUUUUCUUUGAAGACCACCUCAGGUGACCCUACUGUGGGGAAAAUGCCUGAAUUAUCUUUGUAAUCCCAGCUCAGCCACUUAAAGAUUGUGUAAGUUUAGUGUCAGCAUAUUACUUAAGUUCUUUUAGAUUUAGUUUCCUCAUAUGUAAGCUGGGGAUAAUAAUACCUACCUCAUAGAAAAUGAAUGAGAAUCAAGUUAUAUAAUAUAUGAACAACACUUGACACUGUGUGUGAACACUCAAUACAUGUAAAUCAUUAUUAUUAGCAAAAUGAUUAUUAGGUUCUCAUGCUAAUCCACAAUUUUUAUUGGCAGAUAUCCAUUAGUUUAUAGUUAAUGUUAUUCAUAAUCUUUUCUUCAUAUUCAAAUAGGAAGAGAUGACUUCUCAAUCUAGUUAAUCCUGGAUGUGUAUUUCUCUUAAUUUAUUGAGUGUAAAAUGCUUAUUUAUAUACAUACAAUUUCCCUUAUUAGUGAACAUCUAGAAGGCAGAAUGGUACUUCAUUUCUUUCUGUAUGUUUAGCACCAAGGACAGUACCUGGCACAUAGAAGAUACAUAUUAAAAACAAAUAAAACAACUCUUAAUGGAUCUCAUUUUAAAAAAAUUCUCGGUUAAUUAUAAAGGCUCUAGUAAACCAAAUAAUUGUAUGUUAACUUAUUUACUUUUAUUACUGUGUUUAUUUUCUCCAACUGCUUCAUCAUACAAAGUAAACACCUGAAUGUAAGCUGCAUGAGGGCAAGAGCUGUGUCUUGUUUACUGCUCUCAAGAACAUUUGAGCAAAGUGCCUGGCACAUGGCAGACACUCAAUAAGUUACAAUUAAUACUCAAUGUAUGAACUGAUCUAUACUUAGAAUUGACUAAGAAGAAUAAGUCUUACACAGACUCAGUCUCUGAGAACUUGAAAAUCUAAGUUUGCAUAUCUCUGCUGUUGUGUUUUCAGGUUACUCAGUAGAAAACCAAGUUAUUUACACAUCCUCAAGUGUCUCAAGGUUAAAUCUUCCAUGCAUAAAAUAUCUGGGCGAUUGAUUGUGUUUCUUACUUUGCUCCUAAGUAUGUUAGCAUCAUAUAGGCAUAGCCUAAGCCAGACCAAAAUGAAUUCAUUGAUUGACUCAACAAAUGUUUAUGGAUCUCAG